rnacentral:lncRNA from 1 species
UAUCUUCAGCUUGCAUCCAGCCAUUUCAUUCCUCCGAGGUCCUCCCAACGACUUCCCUCAUCUCAGCUGUGAGCAACAUCCCUUGCAUCCGAGAAUCAAGCCAACUUCUUCAACCUCCCUCCAUUCACAUUAUCCCUCACACCCGUGAGCUUCAUCCACAUCGUACCCAACCUCGAGUUCAUCCGGUCUCCUUCUCAGCCGAAUGCAGCCACCCCCUGCGGACUCAAACCAACUCACAGCAUCCCCUGAUUCCCAAUCGGAUGAACAUCCCAAACCACUUCUCCCAGCCGAAUCCAAAAAAAUAGAAUCUCCCACGUAUUCCUAUUCUUCCGCUAGAUCCCAGUCAAGAUAAGCCUUCCAGAUUUCCUAUCAUCCUUAUCCCAAAGCCGGGAUCCAUUCCAUUGCGACAGAUUCCUCCCAGCAUCCUCUUCCUUCGGAAUAGAGUCCAGCCAUAUCUCUCUUAUCCAUGGACAAGUUCAUGCAUUUCUUUUCCCUGCUUUGAAACAGAGUAUUAUCUUUAUCUUCUUCCGGUUUCACGGCAUUCCUCCCGUCUGGAUAGACUUCAUCGCCCAUGAAUCCAACCCGUCCCAGCUCCCCUGUUCCGAGUUCAUUCUUAUCCGUGGAUCCAAUCUUAACUUCCAACCAUCUGCCUCUUCCCAUGCGCCCAAUCCUCUUCGUAAAUCAAGCAUCCAGCAUCUUCUUCCCAACGUCCAGAUUGGAUAUUGCAAUCAUCCGGAUCAGAUCAAGCCUCCACGAGUUUAUCUUCCCAUUCAGAUCAGCAUAGAGGAAGAAAGAGAGGGGAUGCCGAGUCUAUAAAAGGAGGAGAGUUCUCCUUGGGGAUUAAUUCCUCCUUUUCCCCACCGGGAGAAGAGAAGCUUGGGGGUUCGGUUCCACAUCAUCUCUCACAGGCCAAGUUCCCAAGGGAAGAAGAGGAAAGGGAGAGAAGAGUUUGGGUACUUUGGGAAUGAUUUCCCAAAGGAAAAGACGAUGAUUUGUUGAGAGGGAGCCGACGGGAGGAAGGAGCCAAUCAUCAUGAAGUCCCCCUGCA